GAUGAAGAACGCAGCGAAAUGCGAUAAGUAAUGUGAAUUGCAGAAUUCAGUGAAUCAUCGAAUCUUUGAACGCACCUUGCACUCCUUGGUAUUCCGAGGAGUACGCCUGUUCGAGUGUUAUGAAGCUCUCAAAACGCAAUUGGCUUAAAACCUGAUUGUUGUUUUGGAUUUGAACUUUGCCGUGUUAUAACGGCUGGUUUUAAAAGUAUUAGCUGGUACUAGAACGGAUUGGUUCUACUCAACGUGAUAAUUAUCUGAUCGUUGAGGACAUUCCUUUCACGAGGAAUGGCCAUAGUAAAUUCAAUGGACUGCUUCUAAUCUGGCUUUAAUUCUUUAUUGGAUUAACCACUUUUCAAAUCUGACCUCGAAUCAGGUGGGACUACCCGCUGAACUUAAGCAUAUCAAUAAGCGGAGGA
rnacentral:misc_RNA from 1 species